rnacentral:rRNA from 1 species
AGAGUUUGAUCCUGGCUCAGGACGAACGCUGGCGGCGUGCUUAAUGCAUGCAAGUCGAACGAAGAACCCACUAUGGGUAACCACUGUGGAAUUCUUAGUGGCGAACGGGUGAGUAACACGUGAGAAACCUGCCCCGGAGACCGGGAUAGCCCAGGGAAACCUGGAUUAAUACCGGAUACCCUCUUUUGAUCGCAUGAUCGACUGAGGAAAUGGUCCGCUGCUCCGGGAUGGUCUCGCGCCCUAUCAGCUAGUUGGUGAGGUAACGGCUCACCAAGGCAAUGACGGGUAGCUGGUCUGAGAGGACGAUCAGCCACACUGGGACUGAGACACGGCCCAGACUCCUACGGGAGGCAGCAGCAGGGAAUUUUGCACAAUGGGCGAAAGCCUGAUGCAGCGACGCCGCGUGGGGGAUGAAUGCCUUCGGGUUGUAAACCCCUUUCAGGAGGGACGAAGCGAAAGUGACGGUACCUCCAGAAGAAGCCCCGGCCAACUACGUGCCAGCAGCCGCGGUAAUACGUAGGGGGCGAGCGUUGUCCGGAUUUAUUGGGCGUAAAGAGCUCGUAGGCGGCUCAGCAAGUCGGCCGUGAAAACCUGAGGCUCAACCUCAGGACGCCGGUCGAAACUGCUGUGGCUAGGGUUCGGUAGAGGAGAGUGGAAUUCCCGGUGUAGCGGUGAAAUGCGCAGAUAUCGGGAGGAACACCAGUAGCGAAGGCGGCUCUCUGGGCCGACACCGACGCUGAGGAGCGAAAGCUAGGGGAGCGAACAGGAUUAGAUACCCUGGUAGUCCUAGCCGUAAACGUUGGGAACUAGGUGUGGCGGAUUCAUUGACAUCUGCCGUGCCGAAGCUAACGCAUUAAGUUCCCCGCCUGGGGAGUACGGUCGCAAGG